rnacentral:rRNA from 1 species
CCUACGGGAGGCAGCAGUGGGGGAUAUUGCACAAUGGGGGCAACCCUGAUGCAGCGAUGCCGCGUGAAUGAAGACGGCCUUCGGGUUUUAAAGUUCUUUCGCAGGGGACAAAAAGUACGGUACCCUUCAAGAAAGCUACGGCUAACUACGUUCCGGCACCCCCGGUAAUACGUAGGGAGCAGGCGUUGUCCGGAAUUACUGGGGGUAAUGGGGGCGUAGGCGGUAGGAUAAGUUGAAUGUGAACUCUAUGGGCUCAACCAAUAACUGCGUUCAAAACUGUUCUUCUUGAGUGAAGUAGAGGCAGGCGGAAUUCCUAGUGUAGCGGUGAAAUGCGUAGAUAUUAGGAGGAACACCAGUGGCGAAGGCAGCCUGCUGGGCUUUUACUGACGCUGAGGCUCGAAAGCGUGGGUAGCAAACAGGAUUAGAUACCCGAGUAGUC